AUGGUUUAUUAAGGAUGAGACACAAGUAGCAGAACCCUGCAACGAUCGUCUUCUCCAUCAGUAACGUGCUUCAAGUAAAGCGGAGGAGCUUUUCGUGGAUCCAAAACUGAUACGAUCGAUCAUCGGAGCCGCUCGUAAAAUGGGUCUCUGGCUGAGGCAUGUUCAUGCUCGAUUCUACCUCCCAAAAAAAAUCUGAAGUGGCUUGAUUAAUUUAUAUCAUAAAAUCAUCAGCAAGAUCGCCAAACUUGAAGCGUCUGUAUGCCUACUUUGUUGUUUCUUGAUGCGAUGAUGGUUCCGUUCCUGUCGGGGACGGAUCAUCUGGCAGCUACGCGUAAGCUUCGAACCUCGACGAGGAUGCUUACGGAUAAAUGAACGAGAUGAAGGAAUGACAGCCCCGCUGCCUUGCGCUCUGUUUCCAGGUGAGGCCUGUAUAGUUUAAGCUGAAGCCUAGAAGCAACAAGUGGGUAUAGAUUUUGGUGCAUCCGCCCACCCACCACCCACACCGGGAGCUAAUUAACGCGGUCUGGAUAGGAUCAUAUCUCCAGCUAUUUGGAUACUCCCACAAGUAAAGAAGGGACCCGAUCCUCAAAUGAUUGUUGUCAAAAUCUAGCGCGUAUACUGCAAUCAUCAUAAAAUUAAUUAUCUUCAACACUUGGCUACGCUACGCUACAUUCCACCGCCCAAAACUCUCUGCAUUGCUUGUGGGGUUUUCGUGUUUGGAUCGAUG
rnacentral:lncRNA from 1 species